GUAUAGUUUGAUGCCAUAAUCCCCACUUAGAGUGUGCAGGAAUGCUUUGUUCGGGUUAGUGGGCGACAUCUCUGUCGUGAUACUCCUGUUGGAGAGCGAAUUUACUUUGGUUGCACUUGGAGGACUAAAUAAUCUCAUCAGCGGUGACCUGGCCUGGAUUCUGCUCCAGCCGCCUGGAAGACACCCCUCCAGCCGUCAUGUUGACUCACACUCUGUCGUCUUCAGGGACCUGAGCGACGAGAAAACGAAAUCUUAGAAAGCUGGGUUUGCCGGACACGACACAUAGUUGAGAAGAAUCCACCUCAUGACCCCAAGUCUUGGGAACUAUUUUUUGCACCUGGAGCCAUAAAACCAAAGAUCUCUAGGAUUCAGCCUGGUGAUAUAAAUGGAUGAGGUAAAUAAGGUAAAAGAGAAAAAAUGAUGAUGUAAAUAUUAUGAAAAAUGGCAGCUGACUUUGACCUUAUUAUCUGGGGCUAAUAGGAAGUACUGAAGACUGGGGAACUACCUCAUCUUAAAGGAAAGUGACCAGCAUGAAGGUGAAAAUCUGAAUUUUCAGUUACCAAAACCAAAACAUAGGAGCCAAUCUUGAUUCUUCCUUAUUUCUCUUACCCUACAGCCUAAUCUGGACUCGUUAGCCAGAAUUUGAUCGCCUCUCCACAACGCCUGCUUUGCCUCUAAGCCGCUGUCAUCUCUCUCACUUCAAAUAUGCCCUCCCAGGUGUUCUCGCAAAGCUCACUCUUGAUUAUCUACACUUCUCAGACUUUCUUUUGCAGUUUUUCAAAAGACAAUGCCAGGCAUAGAUUGGGAGAGAACAUUUUCAUUAUAUGAAUUUGAAAAAGAACUUAUAACCAGAAUUUUUUAAAAAAUUCCUGUAAUAACUCAAUAAUAAUAAGAGAUAAACAAUUUCAUUAAAAAUACGGCCAGAAGAUUUGAGUAGCUACUUCAUACAGAAGAUACCUGAGAGCCAAAAGCAUACCAGAAGGCUCAUUAGGGAAAUGCAAAUUAAAACCACACUGAGAUACAGCCACACAACCAUUAGAAUGACAGUUCAUAGCUUGGGAAAAACAUUUGCAAAUCAUGUGUAUCAUCUGCUUCUGUGUAAUAAAUAAAGUCCAGCAUCUUAAAAUGAUCUCAUAAUUUCUGUGUGUCAGGAGUUUGGGCAUGGCUUAACUGGGUCUUCUGUUUUAGUAUCUCUCACAGUGCAAUAAUCAAGAUUUCAGCCAGAGUUGGAAUAUCAUCCAAAGGCUGGAUGUGCAAUGGACCUUCUUCCAAACUCACAUGGUGAUUGCAGAAUUGAAUUCUUCCAGGGAGUUUGGGUUAAAUGCCCUGACCUUUCUUAAUUCCUUGAGUGUGGACCUCUCCAACAUGACAGCUUGCUUCAUCAAAUUAUGUAAGCCAACAAGGCAAUAUAGAGUCUACCAGCAAGAUGUAAAAUACAGUUUUGUGUAACCUAAGACUCAGUAGUGACAUAUCAUUUGUUUUCCUCCUACUAAUUAGAAACAAGACACAAGUCGCACCUACCGGCAGCACCUAAUACGAAGAUGUGAAUACAAAGAAAUUGGGAUCAUUGGUAACUGUCCUAGGAGGUGCCUAUC